CUCCCUCUCUCUCCAGUAAUCUUCCAUGCACCAGGAGCAAGAAACCCUAGGGUUUCUUGCCGCCAGUCCAUAAAAGGAAAGAGAAGAAGGGGAGGCGCUAGCCCCUUCCCCCUUGCAGCCACCUACCAGAUCUGCUCUCCCCCUCUUGCAGGUGCCCAAACACUAGGUCCAGAACCUGAAAUCUCUUGAGAAGAGGUUGGUACAAGUCUCUCUCAGAUCUAGAGUUGAUCUGAGGUCGUUUGAGGCAUGGGUGAGAUCUCCAUCAACAGAUCUACAAAAAGGCUGCAACAGGAUAGAUCUAUGAGGUUUGAUUCCAUCUAUCUUCUUCCUCAUCUAGAAUAUCCUAAUUUGAGAUCUACAAAUUGAAAGACCUCGGUCUAGGUCUGAUCUGGUUGGGUACCAGAUCUUGAAUUUUUUAGAGGUGGUUUCAAAGGCGUUCUUCAUCUGGAAUGAAAGGCUGACGAAGAAGACAACAACCAGGCUGAUUUCGUCAAGGGUCUUAGAUCGUGUCCAGAUGUCUCCAGAUCUAUUCAUUGCUAGUUUUGCUGCACCAAAGGUCUGUGGGAGGAGCCAGGAUGAUGCUCCAAUAGUUGGUAUCAGAGCCACGGUGGUGAGGAAGCGGUUCCAAGCACGAGAAGUUGAAGAUCCUAAGUGCUGAAAAUUUUCAGCAAGGUACCAUCAAGGUAUAUUCUACACUUCUUGAAUUUAUAUUGCUUGUUUGGCUUGGAUCCAAUCAUGGGC
rnacentral:lncRNA from 1 species